GGGUGAACGCUGGCGGCGUGCCUAACACAUGCAAGUCGAGCGGUGCAGCUGGAGGCUUCGGCCGAAGGCUGCAUAGCGGCGGACGGGUGCGUAACGCGUCGGAACGUGCCCCCUGGAGGCGGAUAGCCGCGGGAAACUGCGGGUAAACCGCCAUAGACUCGGGAGAGUAAAGGCCGGAAGGCGCCAGGGGAGCGGCCUGCGUCCCAUCAGGUAGUUGGUAGGGUAACGGCCUACCAAGCCUACGACGGGUAGCCGGUCUGAGAGGAUGGCCGGCCACAAGGGCACUGAGACACGGGCCCUACUCCUACGGGAGGCAGCAGUGGGGGGAUAUUGGACAAUGGGCGGAAGCCUGAUCCAGCGACGCCGCGUGGAGGACGAAGCCCUUCGGGGUGUAAACUCCUUUUGUCGGGGAAAAAGAGCUGAUGGUACCCGACGAAUAAGCCCCGGCUAACUACGUGCCAGCAGCCGCGGUAAUACGUAGGGGGCGAGCGUUACCCGGAAUCACUGGGCGUAAAGGGUGCGUAGGCGGCCGCGUGUGUCUGGCGUAAAAUUCCACGGCUCAACUGUGGGUAUGCGCUGGAAACUACGUGGGCUUGGGUGCGGCAGAGGCAGACGGAACUGCUGGUGUAGGGGUGAAAUCCGUAGAUAUCAGCAGGAACGCCGGUGGAGAAGUCGGUCUGCUGGGCCGUAACCGACGCUGAGGCACGAAAGCUAGGGGAGCGAACCGGAUUAGAUACCCGGGUAGUCCUAGCCGUAAACGAUGCUCACUAGGUGUGGGGGCGGAAGCCUCCGUGCUGAAGCGAACGCGA
rnacentral:rRNA from 1 species